rnacentral:rRNA from 1 species
UAAUACGGAGGGUGCAAGCGUUAAUCGGAAUUACUGGGCGUAAAGCGCACGCAGGCGGUUUGUUAAGUCAGAUGUGAAAUCCCCGAGCUUAACUUGGGAACUGCAUUUGAAACUGGCAAGCUAGAGUCUUGUAGAGGGGGGUAGAAUUCCAGGUGUAGCGGUGAAAUGCGUAGAGAUCUGGAGGAAUACCGGUGGCGAAGGCGGCCACCUGGACAAAGACUGACGCUCAGGUGCGAAAGCGUGGGGAGCAAACAGGAUUAGAUACCCUGGUAGUCCACGCUGUAAACGAUGUCGACUUGGAGGUUGUGCCCUUGAGGCGUGGCUUCCGGAGCUAACGCGUUAAGUCGACCGCCUGGGGAGUACGGCCGCAAGGUUAAA